rnacentral:rRNA from 1 species
AACGUAGGUCCCGAGCGUUAUCCGGAUUUACUGGGCGUAAAGGGCGUUCAGGCGGUGGGCUAAGUCAGGCAUGAAAUCUCUCGGCUCAACCGGGAGAGGCUGUCUGAGACUGGCCCACUUGAGGGCAGUCGAGGGUGGUGGAAUUCCGGGUGUAGUGGUGAAAUGCGUAGAGAUCCGGAGGAACACCAGUGGCGAAAGCGGCCACCUGGGCUGUACCUGACGCUGACACGCGAAAGCUAGGGGAGCGAACGGG